UACGGAGGAUGCAAGCGUUAUCCGGAAUGAUUGGGCGUAAAGCGUCCGCAGGUGGCUGUGUAAGUCUGCUGUCAAAGAGCGAAGCUCAACUUCGUAAAGGCAGUGGAAACUACACGGCUAGAGUGCGUUCGGGGCAGAGGGAAUUCCUGGUGUAGCGGUGAAAUGCGUAGAGAUCCGGAGGAACCCCAGAGGCGAAGGCGGCGCCCUGGCUCGCAACUGACGCUCAGACACGACAGCAUGGGGAGCGAACGGG
rnacentral:rRNA from 1 species